AUUCGGAGUGUUUUUUGUAUCCAUUUUAACAAUUUUCUUUUUUAUGUGAUUAAUUUGACGAAUAAAGUUACUUAUUUAUUUUGAAGAUCCACUGGCCUGUAAAGAUGAAGAAGGGAUCCGAGGGCUUUAAGCCCGAGAAUCUUGUUCCAGUUGAUAUUCUAGCAACAUGGAAAGCAAUGGAGAAACUGUAUGAUUCUAGAUAGGCGCGCGCCAUUGGCGUUAGCAAAUUUUCCACCAAAAAGUUGGGAGAUUUGUUGGAUGUAGCCCGCGUUCCGCCAGCUGUCAACCAGGUGGAAUGUCACCCUUCAUGGAAGCAAGCUAAACUGAGAGACUUCUGCAAAUCAAAGGGUGUUCACCUUUCUGUGUUUCGGGUUGUUAACGGGCUGGGUAGGGUCGACACGUUUCGGUUCGCUAACGGGCCAGGCUGGGUCAAGAGUUUCAGGUCUGUAACGGCCUGAGUCAGUUCGAGACAUUUCAGGUCGAUGACGGACCGGGCGAUACAUUUCAGGUCGUUAAUGGGCCAGUUCGGUUUGAGAUGUUUCAGGUCGUUAAUGGGUCAGGCCGAGUUGAGUUACUGGGAUGGAAUGAAAUCAGGAGUGGCCGAUAUGGUCAACACCGGUAGCUGCCAGGGUGGUUCCAUUACUGCAGCCCUUUUCUUGAAGCAGCUAUACUGUUUAACCAUCUUAUUUUCCCAUUUAACCCUUCUACAGUAGAAAGAACACAUUUUACCCUUCCGACCAGAUAUGCGACGAUGUCCAGUGUAUGCCCCGUUUCCUUCUAGAUCAGAGACUCUGGAGGCACAUGUAAAGUGGAUUUCGACAAAGGUGUAAACUGGUAUGUUUAUGACUAUGCAGGUUUUUAUAUAAAAACACAAAUUCAGAAGUUCAUGUAUUCAUGACCUAAUUUAUUAUAUGAAUCGUGAACUUUGGAUCAGGUGUAAAG